UGGGGUGUAGCUCAGAGGUAGAGCACUUGCUUGUCAUGUGUGAGGUCCUGGGUUUGAUCCCCAGCACUCUCA
rnacentral:tRNA from 1 species